rnacentral:rRNA from 1 species
CCUACGGGAGGCAGCAGUGAGGAAUAUUGGUCAAUGGGCGAGAGCCUGAACCAGCCAAGUCGCGUGAAGGAUGACGGCCCUACGGGUUGUAAACUUCUUUUGUCAGGGAGCAAUUGGGUCCACGCGUGGGCUUAGCGAGAGUACCUGAAGAAAAAGCAUCGGCUAACUCCGUGCCAGCAGCCGCGGUAAUACGGAGGAUGCGAGCGUUAUCCGGAUUUUUUGGGUUUAAAGGGUGCGUAGGCGGAAUAUCAAGUCAGCGGUAAAAAUUCGGGGCUAAACCCCGUCGUGCCGUUGAAACUGAUGUUCUUGAGUGGGAGAGAAGUAUGCGGAAUGCGUGGUGUAGCGGUGAAAGGCAUAGAUAUCACGCAGAACUCCGAUUGCGAAGGCAGCAUACCGGCGCCCAACUGACGCUGAAGCACGAAAGCGUGGGUAUCGAACAGGAUUAGAUACCCCAGUAGUA